rnacentral:rRNA from 1 species
UAAUACGGAGGGUGCAAGCGUUACCCGGAAUCACUGGGCGUAAAGGGCGUGUAGGCGGAUCAGUCAGUCUGGCUUUAAAGACCGGGGCUCAACCCCGGAAGUGGGCUGGAUACUGCUGGUCUAGACCUCUGGAGAGAGAACCGGAAUUCCUGGUGUAGCGGUGGAAUGCGUAGAUACCAGGAGGAACACCGAUGGCGAAGGCAGGUUCUUGGACAGAAGGUGACGCUGAGGCGCGAAAGUGUGGGGAGCGAACCGG